rnacentral:sRNA from 1 species
ACUAAAUGAGGUUCGAUUGAGAUUGCUGCCUUGUGCAGCAACAUCAAACCAACCUACGUCGUGUAGG